rnacentral:misc_RNA from 1 species
CGCCGCAAACCACCCUUCUCUGGGCGACAGAUCCAUCUUCGACCACGUUCCGAAUCCUCCUUCUGCCUCGGGUCUUCCUUCUGCAUUCGACGCUUUCUCCGAAGUAACUAACUUCCAUUCCCUCCCCUUUGGGAUUCUCGAAUUUUCCCCUCCGUUGUUGAAUCUAUUUCUAUGUUGCCCUGAUGGAGAUUGCAGAACCGCCACAAUUUCUGAACAACAGUGUGGAAGAGUAUAACAACAACCCUUCUUCGAGAGACGCUGAUGAGCAACAAGGGAA